rnacentral:tRNA from 1 species
GUCCUAGUAGCUCAGAGGUAGAAUGUUGGACUCGUAAUCCGGAGGACUGGGGUUUGAGUCCCAGUAGAGACA